rnacentral:rRNA from 1 species
GACGAACGCUGGCGGCGUGCUUAACACAUGCAAGUCGAGCGGUAAGGCUCCUUCGGGAGUACACGAGCGGCGAACGGGUGAGUAACACGUGAGUAAUCUGCCCUUCACUUCGGGAUAACCACCGGAAACGGUGGCUAAUACCGAAUACGACCAGUCUUCGCAUGAGGUGCUGGUGGAAAGUCUUUUCGGUGAAGGAUGUGCUCGCGGCCUAUCAGCUUGCUGGUGGGGUAAUGGCCUACCAAGGCUUCGACGGGUAGCCGGCCUGAGAGGGUGACCGGCCACACUGGGACUGAGACACGGCCCAGACUCCUACGGGAGGCAGCAGUGGGGAAUAUUGGACACUGGGCGAAAGCCUGAUCCAGCAACGCCGCGUGAGGGAUGACGGCCUUCGGGUUGUAAACCUCUUUCAGUACCGACGAAGCGCCCUGUCGGGUGGUGACGGUAGGUACAGAAGAAGGACCGGCCAACUACGUG